CAAGCAGCCGCGGUAAUUCCAGCUCCAACAGCGUAUAUUAAUGUUGUUGCAGUUAAAAAGCUCGUAGUUGGAUUUCUGGUGGGAGCGGCCGGUCCGCCGUAAGGUGUGUACUUGGUUGUCUCCUGUCAUCCUUGUGGGAACUGCUCUGGCAUUAAGUUGUCGGGGUUAGGGAACACAUCGUUUACUGUGAAAAAAUUAGAGUGUUUAAAGCAGGCUUAUGCCGUUGAAUACAUUAGCAUGGAAUAAUAAGAUAGGACUUUGGCGUCUAUUUUGUUGGUUUGCACACCAAGGUAAUGAUUAAUAGGGAUAGUUGGGGGUAUUCGUAUUUAAUUGUCAGAGGUGAAAUUCUUGGAUCUAUGAAAGACGAACUUCUGCGAAAGCAUUUACCAAAGAUGUUUUCAUUAAUCAAGAACGAAAGUUAGGGGAUCGAAGAUGAUUAGAUACCAUCGUAGUCUUAACCAUAAACUAUGCCGACUAGGGAUUGGCGGUCGUUCAUUUAUGACUCCGUCAGCACCUUAUGAGAAAUCAAAGUCUUUGGGUUCCGGGGGGAGUAUGGUCGCAAGGCUGAAACUUAAAGGAAUUGACGGAAGGGCACCACCAGGAGUGGAGCCUGCGGCUUAAUUUGACUCAACACGGGGAAACUUACCAGGUCCAGACAUAGUAAGGAUUGACAGAUUGAGAGCUCUUUCUUGAUUCUAUGGGUGGUGGUGCAUGGGCCGUUCUUAGUUGGUGGAGUGAUUUGUCUGGUUAAUUCCGUUAACGAACGAGACCGUCGCCUGCUAAAUAGUUACGCGAAUGGCUUCGGCCAUUGGUGGGCAACUUCUUAGAGGGACUUUUGGUGUUUAACCAAAGGAAGCUGGCGGCAAUAACAGGUCUGUGA
rnacentral:rRNA from 1 species